GAAAAGAUCUUGAGAAGAUCACAGACAUGAUUCAACAGAGACAAGCACAUCGCUUUGUGGAAUCAUUGCCUUUUCAUUUAGCAGUGUUGGGGGAGACAGCACAGUUAUAUGGGUUGAUUUUUCAAUGGGAUUUGUCUCAGAUGGACCCUCUUUUGUUGAUAGAGUGGGUUUUUUUAGCUUACAGGCCCUCAAAAACAAUUCUUACAAAUUUAGAAAUGAUAGCACAAAUUAUUAUUAAGGCGAGAACCAGAUUGCUGGUGAUGUCAGGCAGGGAUUUCUCAGUCAUUCAUGUACCUUUAAAGAAAGUAUAUUUUGAGUGGGCGAUGCAGAAAUCACAGGAUCUUGCAAUUGCUUUGUUAGGAUAUCCAGGGAUUUGUACAGUUCAUUUCCCGGCGCACAGGAUGUUAAAUGCAAAACGAGGACCGAAGUGGGUGUCGGCGAGGCACGUGAAACCUUAUCGGGUGCAGACGCAAGUGGACGUGGACCCGAGGAGCAGAGAAGCAAGCACGCAGACGAAGGCAGACGACGACGCAGACGUCACAUCAGACAACGACUGAUCACCCAGAGACUUGGGGGUUUUCUUUUCCUGAGAAAUCAAGUGUUGUUUGGGUGUUGCUGCAUUGCAGGGUCUCUCACAGAGGGUGGGGGCAUGGACAUGGGAUUCAGGCAGAUAGUGUUCAUGUGCUUCAUUCUCUUGCCUAUUGCCUUGGGCAAUUGGACAGACUUUCCCGUGAAACAACCAAAGGAAAAUGUGUGGGAAACUUUGGCAAAGGCAGCGGGUCUAGACAGCAUUUGUCUGACUCAUUCAAAGCCAGGAAAACCAUUUUCAACAUGUUUAGUAGGUGUGCCAGUGAAGGAAUGGCCAAUUCCAAAAGGCAUCCCUCCAGAGAUUCUGAAAACUUUUUCGGAUCCUGUGGAAGGAUGGCAAGUUUGGACACAGUACCUUCCUGUGGCUCACUUGGAACCUCCAGAAUUGGACAUUUUUGGAUCAACAAAAAUGAAAUGGUGCAUCAAAUUUAAUUCAUCAGGAGUGGCAAAGACAGAUAAUCAUACAAUAGAUGUCACUCCCAAUCAGCCUUUUUAUAAAAAUGCAUCAUCUUGGUGCAAUCACACAAAAAUAACAAGCAAACCAUCCCUUCAACACCCAGCCACUUUACCGAAGGGAAUGUUUUUCAUUUGCGGGGACAGAAUUUGGCCUGCUAUCCCUGCAAAAAUCAAGGGUGGUCCAUGCAGCAUCGGGGAACUCUCAUUGUUAACACCUGAUUUGAAAACUUUACAAAAGCAGACACACAGGGAAAAAAGAUCCCUUGAACAAUAUAGUCCAAAUUGUGAUGAUGAUGUUUCUACCUGGAACAAGGCUCAGAGAAUUGCAAUAGCAAUUUUCUCACCCCAAACAGCAUCAGGGGUGGCCUUGACACAAUUGGAUCAUAUAGCGUGUUGGUUGAGGAAACACAGCCGUGCCAUUUCGUUUGCACUGAGUGACAUGUUAACAGACAUCAACAGUGCAAGGCAAGCAGUGCUUCAAAACAGGGCGGCAAUUGAUUAUUUGCUGCUGACACAUGGGCACGGAUGUGAGGAAUUUGAGGGGAUGUGCUGCAUGAACUUGUCCGAUCAUUCAAAAUCUAUUCAUGAAAAUAUAAAACAAAUACAGAACAGUAUUAGCAAAUUGAACAGAGUUACAGGGUCCUGGUGGGAUAGUUUGUUUAACCUUUUUGAUAUCUCACCAUUGUGGAAAGAACUUUCAAAAAUAGCAUUUUAUAUUCUUAUAGGGCUUGUAGUUCUUCUGCUUGUUCUGCCAUGCAUUUUCGUGUGUAUUCGAAAGACCUUGAACAGCAUGGUAAAGCAGGUGUUUCUGGUUCAAACAGAGAGGGGAGAUGUCGGAACCCAAAAUGUCCCUCAGACAUUUUUAGAGGUUCCAGGCCUUGGUCAGAAGCAUUUUAGACCCUGGCAAGCAGCUGAAAACAGCUGUGAUUUUGAGUUUGAACCAUGGAAUGAAUUACCAACUUUGAGGGUGGAACAAGCAGUCACAGAAUGUUAGAUGGUAUAGUAAAAGUAGUCACAAAUUAGAGGGUAAAAUUUUUUAGUGUUGUACAGGGGGGUUUUAGUACCUGUACAGGGGGGUUUUCACUUUGUACAGGGGGGUCAGGAGUUCUAAGAUGGAUGAAAGUGGUCCUUAUCU
ensembl:lncRNA